rnacentral:rRNA from 1 species
UCCAGGCCCUACGGGGUGCAGCAGGCGCGAAACCUCCGCAAUGUGAGAAAUCGCGACGGGGGGAUCCCAAGUGCCAUUCUUAACGGGAUGGCUUUUCAUUAGUGUAAAGAGCUUUUGGAAUAAGAGCUGGGCAAGACCGGUGCCAGCCGCCGCGGUAACACCGGCAGCUCUAGUGGUAGCAGUUUUUAUUGGGCCUAAAGCGUCCGUAGCCGGUUUAAUAAGUCUCUGGUGAAAUCCUGCAGCUUAACUGUGGGAAUUGCUGGAGAUACUAUUAGACUUGAGAUCGGGAGAGGUUAGAGGUACUCCCAGGGUAGAGGUGAAAUUCUGUAAUCCUGGGAGGACCGCCUGUUGCGAAGGCGUCUGACUGGAACGAUUCUGACGGUGAGGGACGAAAGCUAGGGGCGCGAACCGGAUUAGAUACCCGGGUAGUCCUAGCUGUAAACGAUGCGGACUUGGUGUUGGGGUGGCUUUGAGCUGUCCCAGUGCCGAAGGGAAGCUGUUAAGUCCGCCGCCUGGGAAGUACGGUCGCAAGGCUGAAACUUAAAGGAAUUGGCGGGGGAGCACCACAACGCGUGGAGCCUGCGGUUUAAUUGGAGUCAACGCCGG